UACGAAGGGUGCUAGCGUUACUCGGAAUUACUGGGCGUAAAGCGUGCGUAGGUGGUUUGUUAAGUCUGUUGUGAAAGCCCCGGGCUCAACCUGGGAAUGGCAAUGGAUACUGGCAAGCUAGAGUGCGGUAGAGGGGUGUGAAAUUCCCGGUGUAGCGGUGAAAUGCGUAGAGAUCGGGAGGAACACCAGUGGCGAAGGCGGCACCCUGGACCAGCACUGACACUGAGGCACGAAAGCGUGGGGAGCAAACAGG
rnacentral:rRNA from 1 species